AACGAACGCUGGCGGCAGGCCUAACACAUGCAAGUCGAGCGAGGACUUCGGUUCUAGCGGCGGACGGGUGAGUAACGCGUGGGAAUGUGCCCUUCUCUACGGAAUAGCCCUGGGAAACUGGGAGUAAUACCGUAUACGCCCUUUUGGGGAAAGAUUUAUCGGAGAAGGAUCAACCCGCGUUGGAUUAGGUAGUUGGUGGGGUAAUGGCCUACCAAGCCGACGAUCCAUAGCUGGUUUGAGAGGAUGAUCAGCCACACUGGGACUGAGACACGGCCCAGACUCCUACGGGAAGCAGCAGUGGGGAAUCUUAGACAAUGGGGGCAACCCUGAUCUAGCCAUGCCGCGUGAGUGAUGAAGGCCUUAGGGUUGUAAAGCUCUUUCAGCUGGGAAGAUAAUGACGGUACCAGCAGAAGAAGCCCCGGCUAACUCCGUG
rnacentral:rRNA from 1 species